AUAAAAUACUAAAUAAAAAAAAGUUAGGUCCUGGGUGAUGUUUAUUGAGGAAGAUCCACAGCACUUUAAUGGUUUAUUCAUCUAGCUUGAAGUAAUGUCAAACUAACAAUUAUGGUUCUAGUAAGAGGUGGUGGGUUCCCUGGGUAUUGUGGGUAACAAUUGCACUUCCCCAAUUAAAUAUGAAUGCUGGACUGCUAGCCUCAGUUACAAACAGGAUUCCAUUGAAAUCAAGAAUGUACCCCUUAAAUGCUUGCUGUCAUUUCUCUUAGGGAUCUGGAGAGCUCCGGUGCAGUAGGAAAGUACCCUGGGGCUGUGAGAGUGCAGAGGGGGCUGCUGAUGCCCAGAGGCUGGAAAGCGGUUUCUAGACCACACCCAACACAACUGAGACUGGGUUUUGACCACUCAUGAGGCUCCUUUAGUCAGAUACACUGUUUCAUACCAAACUUGUUACUACCCCACAGAAUAUUUUUAGAUACUGCUGUGCAAUAUAAAUAAUUAAAAAGAGAUAUUUCUGGAAGGUUCCAUGGGGGUGAAGAACAUGGGCAGUAGAGGAUUGUGCAGCUCAGUUUAGUCAGUUGCCAUGAUUAUGGCAAACCUAAUUGAGUUACUUCUCUGUUUCCAUGCUGCUCAUCUGUAAAAUGAGCCUAACCGCAGUGCUCCCCGUGUGGGGGAUUAUGGCGGUUAAAUGAGGUAGCGUGCACACUUCACACUGGCCUAGGGUGCACUGAACGUUUCCAUCUGUCGGUCACUGUUGCAGUUCAUUCCAAAUGCACAUUCAAGGGUGUUAGCUGCAUCGUUUUCUUGGUUUUUACCUUACCUGAUGAGCUGAGACGUUGACCAUUAUGGUUUUUCCUUUCCCCUAAAGUCAGGGUUUUUGGUGAUUUGAUCAGUUUUUGUUGAACCUUGUAAUUGAUUUAUUGUACAAAUGGGUGCAAGUGGGGAAAUGAAUGUUUACUUUUAAGUCUCAGUGAGAGGCUCUGGAAGGCCUGGGCUGGGGGUGACAUGCAGGGGAGCAUCUUCAGCCAGAGCAGACAGUGUCCCAGCCGCAGCUCCGCCUUGUCCUGGCUGCAUCCUGGCUUAGGUUAUUUGUUCUAUUUAAUAACAGGUGUUGACAGAGGUUAAAGAGCUAUGUAGUGUUUGGGGUUAUAUCUGGGCAUAAGGCUUAAGGCUAUCACUUGUCUGUUGGAGUUACAGAAUUAGGAUUAGUACCUACUUUAAAACAUUGCUCCAAAGAUUAAAUGAUUUAUAAAUAUGCAUGUCUAGCCCCAUGUCCAACUUGCUAUUUAAAAUCUCAUCAAGGAGACCAGGCUAGCCUCAGACUUACUGAGAUUCCUUUCCUGCCUCUGCCUCCCCAUGUGCUUGGGCUAAAGGUGGCUUCACCACGCCCAGCAUGACGUAAUUUCUUUAUCUGCAAAAUGUAGCUUUGAAAAUAUUCACAGCUAGGUGGUGGCGCAUGGCACACCUGUAAUCUCAGUACCUGAGGCAGAGGCAGGCAGAUCUCUGAGUUUGAAGCUAGCUUGGUCUACAGAGUGAGUUCCAGGAAAUAUUCUUUAUGAAAUACAACAUAUUUUUGACUUAGGUAGUUAAAAAAAAAAGUUUGUCAACUUUGGUGAGCUAUGUGGAAUGGGUACUAUUGAUAACUGAAGGUAAAACGACAGUAGGGAAAAUUUGAUUUAUUAUCAGUAGAUAUUGGAUUUUAUACCUACUUUACAUACCUAUCUACUCAAGGAUGCAUAUUGAACUCUGGAGAAAAGAGUCACAAGUAGAAAGCUUAAGAAGCCCUGCUCUGACUCCUGCAUAUGUGUCUGAACUAAGCCUGUGCGUUUUAAGUGAGGUAUCAAACUGUAUAGCAGCUAUCUUUUAUCUCAAAGAAAAAAAAAGCUAUGCUUAUAUUUAUGUUAAAAGUAAUUGCAGACAGCCCAAAUUAACAUAGUUACCUGUGGGAUGGAUGUAGAGGAGAUAAGAUUUAGAUGGCAAACUAGGGGUGUGGUGGCACACAUCAUAGUUCCUGCACUCAGGAGGCAGAGGCAGGGGGCUUAUGAAUUGACCAGCCUGGACUUAGUAGUGAGUUCAAGACCAGCCUGACCUAUACACUGAGGCCCUGUUUAGAAACAGAAAAAAACCAUGGUAAGUGAUGUUUGUGUGAACAUAUCUUGUUUUGGAAGUUAGACUUUAAAACUAUAUAUUCUAUAUGAUUAUAUAGUUAAAUGAUAAAAGUG
rnacentral:lncRNA from 1 species